rnacentral:rRNA from 1 species
UCGGGUUGUAAAGCACUUUUGUCCGGAAAGAAAUCCUUUUCGAUAAUACCGAAGGGGGAUGACGGUACCGGAAGAAUAAGCACCGGCUAACUACGUGCCAGCAGCGCGGUAAUCGUAGGGUGCGAGCGUUAAUCGGAAUUACUGGGCGUAAAGCGUGCGCAGGCGGUGAUGUAAGACCGAUGUGAAAUCCCCGGGCUUAACCUGGGAACUGCAUUGGUGACUGCAUCGCUGGAGUAUGGCAGAGGGGGGUAGAAUUCCACGUGUAGCAGUGAAAUGCGUAGAGAUGUGGAGGAAUACCGAUGGCGAAGGCAGCCCCCUGGGCCAAUACUGACGCUCAUGCACGAAAGCGUGGGGAGCAAACAGGAUUAGAUACCCUGGUAGUCCACGCCCUAAACGAUGUCAACUGGUUGUCGGGCCUUCAUUGGCUUGGUAACGUAGCUAACGCGUGAAGUUGACCGCCUGGGGAGUACGGUCGCAAGAUUAAAACUCAAAGGAAUUGACGGGGACCCGCACAAGCGGUGGAUGAUGUGGAUUAAUUCGAUGCAACGCGAAAAACCUUACCUACCCUUGACAUGUACGGAAGUCCGCUG